UGCGUAGGGUGCAAGCGUUAAUCGGAAUUACUGGGCGUAAAGCGUGCGCAGGCGGUUCGCUAAGACCGAUGUGAAAUCCCCGGGCUUAACCUGGGAACUGCAUUGGUGACUGGCGGGCUAGAGUAUGGCAGAGGGGGGUAGAAUUCCACGUGUAGCAGUGAAAUGCGUAGAGAUGUGGAGGAAUACCGAUGGCGAAGGCAGCCCCCUGGGCCAAUACUGACGCUCAUGCACGAAAGCGUGGGGAGCAAACAGG
rnacentral:rRNA from 1 species